CUUCUGUUGAGAUUUAACGUGCCAUGUGAGCUUACUUUCUGACGCCAAUGUAUUAUGACUUAUUUGGACUCAGAUGCUAUCAAAUGCCUAGAAUGCAGAUAAUGUUUUAUGAAACAGGAUAUGAAAGGAAACAGAGCUGUGAGAAACCUUGUGGAAGAUGUACAGCAAAAACAGAAGACCAAAAAAGUGAAAGACCUGCGACAGAUAGCCAGGAAUGGGCACAAGAUGUUGUACUCCGAUCAUGAGGAACCUCUCAAACUGUUUUGUGAGGAUGGUUUGCCUCAUCUGCAGAGAGUGAGAGAAACACAGCGGACACAGUUUCAAACCUGUUAAAGAAGCUAUGAAGGAAAAUGAGUAGUGGAGUGAAAAAUGUCUCCCUUUGGUUGACAAAAUCACCCUCAGUGAGAAUAAUUACAUCACACCUGCCUUUCAAGCUAAGUUUAGGUCAAGACUUCAUGAUAACAGGUGAUAAACCACUUCACCAUUGGCCCUUAUGAAAGUUACCUGCCACAAUUUGUUUGUAGAGACGAUUCUAAACUAUGUUAAACAAGGCACGGAUACAUGUACAAUAGACCUGGAAUUGUCUAUCAGAAAAGACAGCUAUCUGCAGUCUGGAGGCCAAGAAUACUUUGCCAGACAUCAGGCGUUUCACAAUACUUAUAAGAACAGUAAUGUGAAGGAUUAAGUAGAUAAACUGUUUGGGUGUACUGGGAAGUUGACAUAGGAACUGACUGGCAACACAGGCUUAAGGUUAGAUGUUAUCCAAAGCAAAGAAUGCCUCUUUCUUGAAGAUAUUUUUGCUGGUAACCCCGAAAAGUUAUGAAACAUUAUCAUUAGUAAAAGAAAAAAGUCUGUAUGCUGAAAGGGGUGAUGAAGAAACCUUACAUGUCAACCAGGUUAUUCCCAGAAGAGUUGGAGUUUACUGAGAGAUGUCAGGUUUUUUACGUCUCUCAUUCUUGCAAUGUGUUGUGGAGAUAAAUAGAUUCUUUUUUUUAUUAAUACAUUUUAUUUAUUAAUAAAAUUAUACAUAAAGUGCACAUUCAGUGCACUUCUGCUUAAAAUUAUAAGUUACAUUUAUAUUCAGUGUAUGCAGCAUAGUGCUGGCUUUAUAAUGUUGAUAUUGUUAACAUUUGAAUUGAUAUAUAAAUACUUGUUAACCCAUAAAACAUAUAGCAUUCACUUUGCUUUUUAAAUGGCUUUGAAGUAGCCUUAAUGCUAACUAUAAAUAACUUUGCAACUACAUGUCAACUAACUUUCAAUAAUUUGCAACAAUACGUCAACUAACUGUCAUUAAAGUAUUAGUAGCCUGUAAGGGUUAGGGAAGAGGUUUGGGUUAGUGGAAUAAGUUGACAUGCACCUGGAAAAAAUAUUUAUAGACAGUUGAAUGUCUGUUGAGAUAUCAUCACAAUAAAGUGUUAGUAGAUAUUAAGCAGUCAGUCUACUAAUUCUCUAAAGAUUGAUAUUUGAUAAGUAAUAAAGUAUAAAUAAUUAAUAAAAUGUCUAAAGUGGACUAUUGAAAUAAAGUGUUACCAAUUUAAUAGUGUUUAUAUAUCAUAACAUAUCUGUUAAAGCGUCUAUUUAUAUAUAUAUAUAUAGUUAAAUGCAUAUAAAUUAAAGGCUUGUAUGUCUGUUUUAAAUGAACUGUGAAGUUGUGUUUUUAAAUGCUGUGCAUUUUUUAAUAGAGUUUAUAAUGGAAGACAUUUUUAGGUAUUUUAAAUGUAAAAAUAUGCUUGUCUUUGCUGAAGGUCACACUUCCAUACGGCAAAAAAAUUA